GACUGCUCUGGUGGCCUAGUGGUUAUGGUGUCCACCUUGGAUGCAGGAAUUUGUGGGUUCAAACCCUGGCCAUGUCA